rnacentral:rRNA from 1 species
GAUGAACGCUGGCGGCGUGCCUAAUACAUGCAAGUCGAGCGAACAGAUAAGGAGCUUGCUCCUUUGACGUUAGCGGCGGACGGGUGAGUAACACGUGGGUAACCUACCUAUAAGACUGGGAUAACUUCGGGAAACCGGAGCUAAUACCGGAUAAUAUUUCGAACCGCAUGGUUCGAUAGUGAAAGAUGGUUUUGCUAUCACUUAUAGAUGGACCCGCGCCGUAUUAGCUAGUUGGUAAGGUAACGGCUUACCAAGGCGACGAUACGUAGCCGACCUGAGAGGGUGAUCGGCCACACUGGAACUGAGACACGGUCCAGACUCCUACGGGAGGCAGCAGUAGGGAAUCUUCCGCAAAGGGCGAAAGCCUGACGGAGCAACGCCGCGUGAGUGAUGAAGGUCUUCGGAUCGUAAAACUCUGUUAUUAGGGAAGAACAUACGUGUAGGUAACUGUGCACGUCUUGACGGUACCUAAUCAGAAAGCCACGGCUAACUACGUG